GACGAACGCUGGCGGCGUGCUUAACACAUGCAAGUCGAACGAUGAAGCCCUUCGGGGUGGAUUAGUGGCGAACGGGUGAGUAACACGUGGGCAACCUGCCCUCCACUCUGGGAUAACUCCGGGAAACCGGGGCUAAUACUGGAUAUGACCUUCUGUCGCAUGCUGGUGGGUGGAAAGUUUUUCGGUGGAGGAUGGGCCCGCGGCCUAUCAGCUUGUUGGUGGGGUGAUGGCCUACCAAGGCGGUGACGGGUAGCCGGCCUGAGAGGGCGACCGGCCACACUGGGACUGAGACACGGCCCAGACUCCUGCGGGAGGCAGCAGUGGGGAAUAUUGCACAAUGGGCGAAAGCCUGAUGCAGCGACGCCGCGUGAGGGAUGACGGCCUUCGGGUUGUAAACCUCUUUCAGCAGGGACCAAGCGUGAGUGAGUGUACCUGCAGAAGAAGCACCGGCUAACUACGUGCCAGCAGCCGCAGUAAUAC
rnacentral:rRNA from 1 species